GACGAACGCUGGCGGCGUGCCUAAUACAUGCAAGUAGAACGAGUUGCGAACGGGUGAGUAACGCGUGGUAACCUGCCUCAUAGCGGGGGAUAACUAUUUGAAACGAUAGCUAAUACCGCAUACCAUCGGAUGUGCCCAGAUGGGAUUAGCUAGUAGGUGGGGUAACGGCUCACCUAGGCGACGAGCCCUGGCUGGUCUGAGAGGAUGACCGGCCACACUGGAACUGAGACACGGCCCAGACUCCUACGGGAGGCAGCAGGGGGGAAUAUUGCACAAUGGGGGCAAGCCGGAUGCAGCCAUGCCGCGUGUAUGAAGAAGGCCUUCGGGUGGUAAAGUACUUUCAGCGAGGAGGCGUUACUCGAAGAAGAAGCACCGGCUAACUCCGUGCCAGCAGCCGCGGUAAUAC
rnacentral:rRNA from 1 species